GACGAACGCUGGCGGCGUGCUUAACACAUGCAAGUCGAACGGAAAGGCCCUGCUUUUGUGGGGUGCUCGAGUGGCGAACGGGUGAGUAACACGUGAGUAACCUGCCCUUGACUUUGGGAUAACUUCAGGAAACUGGGGCUCAUACCGGAUAGGAGCUCCUGCUGCAUGGUGGUGGUUGGAAAGUUUCGGCGGUUGGGGCUGGACUCGCGGCUUAUCAGCUGGUUGGUGGGGUAGUGGUUUACGAAGGCUUUGACGGGUAGCCGGCCUGAGAGGGGGACCGGCGACAUUGGGACUGAGGUAGGGCGCAGACUCCUACGGGAGGCAGCAGUGGGGAGUAUUGCGCAGUGGGCGGAAGCCUGAUGCAGCAACGCCGCGAGCGGGAUGACGGCCUUCUGGUUGUAAACCGCUUUCGCCGGUGACGAGGCGUGAGUGACGGUAAUGGGUAAAGAAGCACCGGCUAACUACGUG
rnacentral:rRNA from 1 species